rnacentral:miRNA from 1 species
UCUAGAAUCCCUUCAGGCGUUACU